AGGUUUUAACUUUCCUCUUGAGAAUUAGAAUCAGAAGUAGUUGUAUAGCUCAUUGCAAUACUUCACCUCUUCUGGCAAAUAGUACCCUAGACUGUCCUGAUCAUCUAGUUGAGCAUUCCAGAUAAUUCCUUCAUCUCAGCAGAAAUGUACCAUCCACAUAGUAGGAUUUUAGAUGUGCAGAUAGACCAAAGCCCAGUCUAUUUUACUGUUACUAUAGUCAAGUCUGUGGGUUAUGGUAUUUUAAUGUAGAUGUUAUCAUUUCAGUAAUCAAUUUAGCUAGCUGGUAAAAGUAACUUUUGUUGUCUUUCAGAUGGAUGGACCGGAAACCCAGUGACAACACUUGGGUCUGUAGCUGCCAUUUUCCGGUGGGAAAGAGAAAAGGCCCUGUAUUUACCAGAAAAGGUAGCUCACCCACCAUGGCAGAAGAUGAAGAUCCAGACUGUUGAUUGGGAAACAAGAACAAACAAUAAGGCACGAGGAUUGGGUGUUGAGUAUGAGAAACAAUUUGUUUUCUGUCCAGAUAAAGAUGGUGAUACAGCAUUGAAAAAUACCUACCACUGACCAUGUCUCUUUGUUUUCCAGUCCAACAGGAGUGCAUCCGUCAGUCCAUCCAGUGCAUGGACAUCCCGCGCCAGUGUCAUCUGGUUGUGGAGACUACAGCAGAACAAGCCUGUAGACCGACAGACAUGAUAUGCGGAACAUCAUGCUCACCCCACGAGAAGCAGUGCAUGAUCAACACCACUCUCAGCAAGGAGAUCUGCUGGAAGUGAUAUACUCUCUCACUCUGGGGGGCACAGCUGUGUGGAGAUAUGAAGAGAACAGAGGCUAGCUUGAGCAGCAGUGACAAUUCUAUCAGCAGAAAGGAGUAACAAAACUGGCAUUAUCACUUGUUUGUACGCUAUGCUCCCACCAUGAUCUCACACCCCUGCUAAAAUGCCACAUAGACAAAAGAGGUUGUAUUUUACUAUAAAGGCUGAGAACCAACUGUUGUUUGUUGGGCUCUUGACUGUUGCACCUGCUCCAUUAUUGCAAAUCUUAAAAUAAAACAAGUUGUUUUGAGCAAUC